CGCCCUAGGCCUGGCACACAGCACACUCUCAAUGAGUUGUUGCUGAGGGAACGCCUGAAAGAAAGAACGCACGUGGGCAGUGACAUUGUCAUCCCGCCCAGCUUGCAGCCUGCUCUGGCACAGCCUCCUUACGGUCUGCACACCCAUGACUCCGAGGUGAGUCCUGGUGGCCCCGCCUAGAGCUCCAGGGAGGACCACCCCGCACAUGGCCCUGGCAUCUCACAGGAGGAUGGGAAGAGGAACUUUGAAGGCCACGGUCAUUGCCAUGGACACCAAGCUUACUCUGCUUGCACAGACCACCAGCGGGCGACAACCCACUGACCCCAGAGGCUGCCGGGGUCUGUUCCCAUCCCUAACACCACACUGCCCCCUGCUGGUCCUGGCUCACUGCAUUUUUCCAUCCGACUGAUUUUCUAGGCCCAGUAACUCGUAAUUGCCCCGGAGGCAAAUUUUGGGAAUAAAUUAAAUGUUCUGGA